rnacentral:rRNA from 1 species
CAAGAGCGUAUAUUAAAGUUGUUGCAGUUAAAAGCUCGUAGUUGGAUUUCUGGUACAACGCGCCUGGCCCGCUUUUAGUGAGUGCCGGUGCGCGUUUGCCAUCCUUCUAGAAAACGUUUCUACCUGGGCAACCGGGCCGGACUCGCGAUCUAGAUCUUUUACUUUGAAAAAUUAGAGUGUUUAAAGCAGGCCAACGCAUUGAAUACAUUAGCAUGGAAUAAUGGAAUAGGACUUUGGUCUUAUUUUGUUGGUUUCUAAGGCCGAGGUAAUGAUUAAUAGGGAUAGUUGGGGGCGUUUAUAUUCCGUUGUCAGAGGUGAAAUUCUUGGAUUUACGGAAGAUAAACUACUGCGAAAGCAUUCGCCAAGGAUGUUUUCAUUAAUCAAGAACGAAAGUUAGGGGAUCGAAGACGAUCAGAUACCAU